rnacentral:misc_RNA from 1 species
GUAGGUGAACCUGCGGAAGGAUCAUUACUAGUUUAGGGUGCUGAUCCAGCGCCCAAACUUCAACCCUUUGACUUGGUUAAUUUGUUUCUUUGCCGGUUUUGGCCGGCAGAAGUUUUCUCGAACCCAUUAGAAAUUUGUCCUCUGAACUUCAAAAAAUAAUAAUUAAAACUUUCAACAACGGAUCUCUUGGUUCUG